UACGUAGGUAGCGAGCGUUAUUCGGAUUUACUGGGCGUAAAGGGUCUGCAGGGGGCCUGCCAAGUCUGGCGUGAAAUUCCAAGGCUCAACCUUGGAACUGCGUUGGAUACUGGCGGGCUAGAGUGCAUGAGGGGAGAACAGAAUACCUGGUGUAGCGGUGGAAUGCGCAGAUAUCAGGUGGAACACCGACGGCGAAGGCGGUUCUCUGGCAUGCAACUGACCCUGAGGGACGAAAGCGUGGGGAGCAAAC
rnacentral:rRNA from 1 species